AGGACUUUUAUUUUGGUAUUGCGCUAUGACGUCACAAGACUGCGCCGCGCUCCUGCAUUUGUUGUGAUUCAGCUGAAGAACGAGUGUCCAAACACACAGAAAUUAAAGCUACUGAGAUCCAUGUGACGUAAAGAUGGCGUCUGUUAAAGAGGAGAGUGAAGACAUUAAGAUUGAAGAUGCAAUCAGUGUGAAACAAGAAGAUACUGAGGAACAAACAGAUCUGAUGCCGCUGAAAGUAGGAGAGAGUGAAGUACUAGAUGAAAUGAAAGAAAAAGAUCAGUAUAAGAAA